AGCAAUUUGGCGCAGUGGAAGCGCGGUAAGUUAUCACAUCCGAGCAUAAGAAAUCUCGAACUUUCACUAACUCACCAUAGCCGGGCUCAUAACCCGGAGGUCGUACGAUCGAAACGUAUAAUUGCUA